rnacentral:tRNA from 1 species
UCUAAUGUGGCAGAUUAGUGCAGUGGAUUUAAACCCCAUACAUAAAAUAUUUUUUUUUUAGAA